UGUGACUAUCCCACCCACUGUGCUAAGGAGCUGGGUGGGAGUAGAUAUCCUUGUAUGUGAACAACUUUGGAGCCCUCCGAAAAGGGCUCCAUCAUCGUCUUCAUCGUCUCAGAUACUCGCACCCACUUUCCAGGAGGCGAGACCUGGCUUUUACUUCGCGGCCAUCACCAACAUGCCUGCAAUCUGGUCGGAUCCCGCAGGCCAGAGUGGGACGCCCGCGACCCCACACCCAGGCUGGAGACAGGGGGAUCGGCGGGGCCAACCCGGGUGGGAGGCUUGGGAGGAUGGAGGGACCCCCCGACUGCCGCCUCCUCCCCUUCCCCGGUUGGGCGGGCGCGCGCGGGCCGGGAGCGGGGAGGCGGCGUGAGGGCAGCAGCGGCGCGGGCGGGCGGUCCCAGGGCCGCGGAGCGCGUCGGAGCGAGUGCACAAAUGCCCAGGGCUUUCGCCGCGCUCGCCCCGCGGCCGCUCCCGCCCAGCGCCGCCCACGCUCCCGGACCCGCGAGGCGCCCGUCGGUGGCGGCCGCGGGGACCCGGGCGCGCGAGGGGAAGGGCCGCCCGCGCGUCGCCCCCGUCCGGAUCACGGCCCUGCGUGGCCUCCGAGCGCCGCCCGGACGGGGCUACUGCGAGGAGCCGCGGAGGCCGAAUACCCGGAAAGCAGGAUCCCGCGGACGCCCGCAGCCCGAGGGAAUCAUCAGAGACCAGGCGGUCCUCGCCCAGACACCCGCCCCCUGAGACUUGGAACGCGGACUCCAGAGGCAGCGCGCAAGGGGAUUGUUUGACUUUAUAACUUUCUUGCAGUUGCACUGUGCCUUAGCAGCCCUUUGGUGCUGAAGACCAAUAACUUACAGCUGCAAUUCUUCUGACACCCACUCCACCAACAAACUUCAGGUCUUUCUCAAGGUAAAUUGCUGUUUUUGUUCCAGUAUUUGUGUGUGUCAGUUAAUUAAUGUGUUUAAUUAUUUAAUGUGAUGCUAUAUUUGGUUCCUAGCUUUACUUUUUAUGUUUUUUGUCACUAACAAAUUUUCUGAGUGAUGUUUGCCAAACUCCAUGUUUCUCAUAGGCCAUGUAGUUUAUAUUGCAAGAUUUUGCAGUUUGGUGAUUUUUUUUUUUUUUAGCAUUGCAUAUGUCAGAUUCUGGCAGAACUGACUAUGUGUUUACACAGGUACUUCAUAUGAUCUGAAAUAUAUAAUUUGUGGAAUAAAUGAUGUAAUUAUACCCA
rnacentral:lncRNA from 1 species